GGUCGCGUGGUCUAAUGGUUAUGACGUUUCGCUCACAAAGUAUCAUUAAAUAUGAUAUCCGAAAAGGUUCCGAGUUCGAUCCUCGGCGUGACCUU
rnacentral:tRNA from 2 species